UGAAAUGCCUUUAUCCCAUAACAUCGGGC
rnacentral:sRNA from 1 species